GUCUUCUGAAGAUGUAGCAGUUGUUAAGUGAAUAUUGUGCUUUGUGAUUUGAGGAUACACUUCACUGAGCACAUACAGAAAUAUACCUGGCCAAUGAGAUGAAGUUGUACCACUUCCAUCAGUCCCGACAUUUGUCAAAGAAGUGCAGUUUAUAAAUGACCAAGUGGAUGAAGCAGCCACACUCUCACCG